rnacentral:rRNA from 1 species
UACGGGGGGGGGCAAGCGUUGUUCGGAAUUACUGGGCGUAAAGGGCGCGUAGGUGGCCUUCUAAGUUGAACGUGAAAUCCCUGGGCUCAACCCAGGAACUGCGUCCAAGACUGGGAGGCUUGAAUCCGGGAGAGGGAUGCGGAAUUCCAGGUGUAGCGGUGAAAUGCGUAGAUAUCUGGAGGAACACCGGUGGCGAAGGCGGCAUCCUGGACCGGUAUUGACACUGAGGCGCGAAAGCCAGGGGAGCAAACGGG